UACAGGGGGGGCAAGCGUUGUUCGGAUUUAUUGGGCGUAAAGAGCUCGUAGGCGGCUUAGAAAGUCAGGUGUGAAAACUCUGGGCUUAACCCAGAGACGCCACUUGAUACUUCUAUGGCUUGAGUUCGGUAGGGGACCAUGGAAUUCCUGGUGUAGCGGUGAAAUGCGCAGAUAUCAGGAGGAACACCGAUGGCGAAGGCAGUGGUCUGGGCCGAUACUGACGCUGAGGAGCGAAAGCGUGGGGAGCGAACAGG
rnacentral:rRNA from 1 species